UUUCAGCGUGGCCGUAAUUCGGAAAGACUGAAGGUAGAAAACUCUGGAACGGAGAUUGGCGACUGGAGCAGGAUCCAGGGACUUUAAAUUUUAACCUGAAUUCGAUUGAAUGCAUCUACCAGAAGAGAUAGUCCGGCGUCCGCCGUCCACUCAACUCCGACCAGGGCUUCCAAUGCCUUUCUUUUGGUUUCUACCGAGAUGCUGUCUAAGGAAGACAAGUUAGCAAAUAAAUUGGCUAAGUAAGAGUCCAGCCUGUGAACGGCCUCCAAGCCUGAGCCCAGAGAAGACCGAGCCCCGGCACGAACCUGAUUCCUGCUGCGUGUGUGUUUUUUUAUAUUUGCCAAACACGAGGUUGUCCUUGUGAAUUUCCCUGCACAAUAGCUGACACCCGGGAGAGGGUGCGCGGGCCCCGGCGCCGCUGGGACAGAGACUGGCUUUCCAACCAGAGGAGAGAAUGGAUAGUGAAAUUUUUUUCUUGUCAGUUAACUUCAAAAUAAAACAAAACUGUUUGACCCGUGGAGUUUAUUCAGACGGAAAGCCAGGUUGCCUGACUCGUCCAGUUUGCAAUUUUCCCAGCGCAUCGGCUUUGGCCCCGGAGACAACACCCCCAGGGAGAGGCACAUUUUCAAAGCCACCCUUCACCGGCCCCAGGCCCGGGGCUCUGAUCUCCCUGAGCGCCUCAGUUGGUCCCGGAAAGCGAGGAGAAGAGGGGGUGCAGAGGAAGAAGUGCACCCAAAGAGCUGGCGAAGGCCCCCAUAGUGUUCCAGAGACGUCAGGUGGUGACGGCGGAAGCACUGAAAAUGCGCAGCCUAGAGGUCGCCCCAACCGCGUGCCCUGGCUCUCCGCCCCACUGCCCGCAGCCUGUCAUCGGGCUCCGGAACGCAGCGCCCACGCCGGGCUGUCGCGAUCGGGACCCGGCCCCGCGGCCCCGCAGCCCCGGGCCGACCCCGCGCGCCGCCGGCGGCCGCCAGUUCGGCGCGGAGGUGGGCUCGCUGCGGCGGCGCGCGAAAGGUCACCGCGGUGGCAUUCCUGUCCGCGCGCUGUUUACGUGACUUAAUGUACUUCGUCCGCCGCGG
rnacentral:lncRNA from 1 species